UGUGAGGCGAGGGCCGCUGUUAGCCUGGUAAUACCAGACUCUGCUACUUAACUUUGCUUCGUAGACAGAGUCUGGAAUGGCAUAAUAGAGAAGUGUUUUCUCUCUCGCUUGGGGGCGCUUGUCUGAAGUUUAAAAUCAUUGGUUACCCGUAAGCCAAUCAGAUACGUUUGGUCAUGACGUAUGUUAUGCGCCUGUACAGCCGCAUCGAAGCACAGACAUCAUGCAUUGAACUCAAAUCUAUGAUUGAACUUCCACUGUAAACCUGUUGUUAAACACUCUUCUUGUUCUGGCUUCAGUUUGAAAAAGAGUUGAAUGUUCUCCAUAACAGAGCGAAUUGCAUCCCGUGUCUCAUUUCCCAUUUCCGCGGUCGUUUCGGUUUUCGAUUUCUCUAACCUACAAUUUAAAACUCUGCGCUUAGCAUCUACGUCACUGCUCUCAGCCCGCCCUCUGUUCGUUGAUUGGCCCGGCUGUUUCCAGACUGGUGGCAAACAGAAAGCUCUGACCCUGUUUUAGACUGAGUACAGAAGCGAAAUGAAAUUGAGCGGAAGUAGGAAGUCUGACGUAGUCAGGCUAGGCCGCUGUUAUGGCUGCUCCCAAAGGUCACACUCGGCCACAGGCACUAGAAAAUGGGCUGUUGUAGAAAUAAAGAGGAUUUAGGAGCUCGGGCCGUCACUUCCCGAUGAGUAAUACAGCACAGAGAUCUGAGAAAGUAUGUUAUUUCCACUCAGCAGCUCUCUGGAGGAAGAAGAUCUUGUCAAAUUUACUUCAGCCUUUGAUUGGUCGUGUUUUCGUAACGGAAUCCAUCUUCAAACAGCUGGCAAAGCACGAGGAUCAGGCCUGACCGCGGUCACUGCACGCCUUGACCUGCAAUACUAAUUUGUUUGACUUUACAGUUCGAGCGGUGCUCAGGAGUUCAAAGUGUCAUGUGAUCUCAUUCUGACCCAACAGGCUCUCUGUCAGACUUCAGAUUCAUGAAUGAUAAACAAGAGUUCACACUGCCAACACUCUCACACACACACACACACGUUUGUUUUUGUGUAAAGUGUGUUCAUCCCAUAGGUGUAAUGGUUUUUAUACUGUACAAACUCUAUAUUCUAUGGCCCUACACCAACCCUACACCUAACCCUAACCCUCACAGGAAACUUUUUUUGCAUUUUUACUUUCUCAAAAAAAUUCAUUCUGUAUGAUUUAUAAGUGUUUUGAGAAAUGGGGACAUGGAUUAUGUCCUCAUAAGUCACCCUCUCCUUAUAAUACCUGUGUCAUACCCAUAUCAUUAUUCAGUUUGUUUUGAAAAUUAGGAUCUAAUGAACACAAAUGUAUCAGUGUUUUAUCGUUGUGUACGUGCUAGUCCUGUCUGUCUCUCCUGUGUGUUUUUGUUAAAAUGUGGAUCAAGUGCUGCCAGAUGAGUCUCAAUCUGACAAACAGGGUUAAUGUGUGAUGAACAGCAGAAAAGAAACUCGCCAGAAUGCUAACAUUGCUCUUGUUCUGUGAAAUAAAAAGUGUUUUGAAUGUUUACAUUUAUAAGGGCUUAAAUUUCUCCUGUAUGAGAGAAGCAGCUUUCACUCUCAACCAAACUAACAUUACUAACAUUACUAACAAAUUGCAAAUACAGCCGUUCAGGCCAGUAAAAUUAAUAUUUGUGGCCAGUAAAUUAGUAGAUGUUGUCAGUCAUUUGCUGACACUGUGUGUGUUUUAGCUGCUGAACAUCUGCAUUGAGGGCUGGGGGAACUGGCACUGGGCUGAACCCUCCAGUGUUGACUCCCCUGUAAAGACCUUGUCUCAGAGGACCACCGGGACAAGACCACAGGAAACAGAUGAUUCUUCUGCACAAUCUGACUUUGCUGCAGCCUGGAAUUGAACUACUGGUUUCAUCUGGUCAGAGGAGAACAGCUCACAGGAGUCCAGAAACAAGUGCCCUGUUGUAAUGGAUCACUGCUGCGUGUCUGCUGCACACAAAUCCUGCUGGAGCCAGAUACACACAUGCAGCAGAGAGUGUCACCUGCCAGAUCCGGUUCUGGUUCAUGUGGAGAAAAAGGAAUCUGGGUCACAGAGACACACCGCUCAUUCACGGCUGCGGCCACCAGGAGGCGCUGCUGAACAUGGAUGAAGAUCUGACACACCACCUCACCUUCCAGACCAGCCACCAGAUCCAGUCUGUAUCCAGAUCAGAGGGUCACUGCAGUCACCCGGAUCCAGUACGUAUCCAGACCAGAUGGUGGAUCAGCACCUAGAAAGGACCUCUACAUCCCUGGAAGACAGUGGAGACCAGGACAAAUAGAGCCCAAGAUACAGAUCCCCUGUAAAGACCUUGUCUCAGAGGAGCACCGGGACAAGACCACAGGAAACAGAUGAUUCUUCUGCACAAUCUGACUUUGCUGCAGCCUGGAAUGUAACUACUGGUUUCGUCUGGUCAGAGGAGAACUGACCCCUCAACUGAGCAUGGUUUCUCCCAAGGUUUUUUUCUCCAUUCUGUCACGAUGGAGUUUCGGUUCCUUGCUGCUGUCGCCUCUGGCUUGUUUAUUUGGGGUCACGUCAUCUACAGCAAUAUUGUUGACUUGAUUGCAAAUAAAUGCACAGACACUAUUUCACUGAACAGAGAUGACAUCACUGAAUUCAAUGAUGAACUGCUUUAACUAUCAUUUUGCAUUAUUGACACACUGUUUUCCUAAUGAAUGUUUUUCAGUUGCUUUGACGCAAUGUAUUGUGUUUAAAGCUCUAUAUAAAUAAAGG